rnacentral:snRNA from 1 species
GUGCUUGCUUCGGCAGCACAUGUGCUAAAAUUGGAACCAUACAGAGAUUGGUAGGGCCCCUGUGCAAGGAUGACACGCAAAAAUCGUCAAGUGUUCCAUAUUUUU